UACGGAGGGUGCAAGCGUUAUCCGGAUUUACUGGGUUAAAGGGUGCGUAGGUGGCAGGUAAGUCAGUGGUGAAAUCUUCCAAGCUUAACUUGGAAACUGCCAUUGAUACUAUUUGUUUUGAAUAUCCUGGAGGUAAGCGGAAUAUGUCAUGUAGCGGAUGAAAUGCUUAGAUAUGAACAUAGUAACACCCAUUGCGAAAGGCAGCUUACUAACGGGAUUAUUGCAGCUGAGGCACGAAAGCGUGGGGAUCAA
rnacentral:rRNA from 1 species